GACGAACGCUGGCGGCGUGCUUAACACAUGCAAGUCGAACGGAAAGGCCCUGCUUUUGUUGGGUGCUCGAGUGGCGAACGGGUGAGUAACACGUGAGUAACCUGCCCUUGACUUUGGGAUAACUUCAGGAAACUGGGGCUAAUACCGGAUAGGAGCUCCUGCUGCAUGGUGGGGGUUGGAAAGUUUCGGCGGUUGGGGAUGGACUCGCGGCUUAUCAGCUUGUUGGUGGGGUAGUGGCUUACCAAGGCUUUGACGGGUAGCCGGCCUGAGAGGGUGACCGGCAACAUUGGGACUGAGAGACGGACCAGACUCCUACGGGAGGCAGCAGUGGGGAAUAUUGCACAAUGGGCGGAAGCCUGAUGCAGCAACGCCGCGUGCGGGAUGACGGCCUUCGGGUUGUAAACCGCUUUCGCAUGUGACGAAGCGUGAGUGACGGUAAUGGGUAAAGAAGCAACGGCUAACUACGUG
rnacentral:rRNA from 1 species